ensembl:lncRNA
UCUCUCUGUGGAGAGAGAGGAGGGACCUGCCUCUAAAAGGUGUCUCUCUGGGAAGAGAGAGGAGGGACCUGCCUCUAAAAGGCAUCUCUCUGUGGAAGAAAAGGAGGGACCUGCCUCUAAAAUGAGUCUCUCUUGGGAGAGAGAGGAGGGACCUGCCUCUAAAAGGUGUCUCUCUGGGAAGAGAGAGGAGGGACCUGCCUCUAAAAGGCAUCUCUCUGGGGAGAGAGAGGAGGGGGCCCCUGCCUCUAAAAUGUGGCUCUCUGGGGAACAUGACACCAAAUCUAAGAGUCCAAUCAGGCAGGAGAGACCAGCCUCCCUGUUCCCAGCUGUGUGUCCAUGAAGAGUGACCGGUCUAUGGAUCCUCCUCUAUACUUUAGAGAGGGAGACUUUUCUACUGAACAAAGGUAAGAAGAACUCAUGGGUCCUGGUCAGUGAGUUAAACAACACUGUCUCUAGUCAUUUCUCCUCUCCCACUUUCCCAUUUAUUGUUGCUGUUUUCAUAAUCUGUAGGCUAAUCAUUUUGUCCAUUUUCAUAUUCCUAAAACAAUAUUAAACAAACUCCACAUUCCGUCUGUGUGUGUGUGUGUGUUCGUGCGGAUGUGUAUGUACUCCUCGGAUGAGGAGAUGUAAUCUCUAUCCUGAUUGUCUAGUCACUUUUAUACUUACCUACAUGUGCAUAUUACGUCAACUACCUGGUACCCUGCACAUUGACUCAG